GGCGGUGCUAGUGCAGCUGUUUUCGUCGACACGUGGCGGAAAAAAGGAAAAUUCCUGUGUAGAGUGGACAAUGCCGAGGGCGCGCAUCCUGGAAGGGGUGGUCAGACGGACAGAGGUCGCCCCCUUCCCUCGGACUCCAUACGACGGAUCCGAGCUAUAAUCAUGGCCGGAAGCUCAGAUUCGAUUGGAGACGAGACGACUGGUUGACAGCUAGGACUACGUGUACUGGAGCGACUGGAACACUAGAGGACAUUGAUCAAGACGGGCCAAUCACACAGGCCCCCAGCUACGACAGACUGCCCGAAUGUGCCGCUGCCGGUGUCCAGCAAGACGACAAGACCGGUGUGGAACGGCGUGCAUCCGGCCUGUAGGCUAGAUAAUUUUAAGUGGCGGGAAUAGUGACAUGAACAACGACUGUAUACCCGCCUCCAGGCGCUGUAACGAAAAGACAGCCGGCGUAUCAGUUCAGCGGACAGUCAGGCGAGGGCAGCGACAAGGCUCUGGUCUGCGAUGGUACAACCAACUGUGACAAUGGCCACGAUGAGGUCGACAGCAGACUUUCAGUGUCACAUCAACAACUUUGCAUUGGCCGCCCUGCUCUACGAUGGCUGGGAACUGAACCGAUGGUGCGAACGAUUCGUUCGAUAUUUUUAUUGCAGGGCGGCGCUUGGCCCUGCCUCGGAUGUUCUCGCGCACCGAGCCAAAGAAUCGAGCUCAGCUUUAAUGGCUCCAUCGAAGAAAAUAAAUAAGUAAGCAGUAAGCAUAGCUAAAAAUGAUUCAAAAUCUCUGCAUACUGAAAUGAGAAUACAUUUCAUGCAUUGAAAUGAAAUGAAACAAGAAACAAGUAUUGAAAGAAAAUAUAUAUUUUCAUAUUUAUUCAUGAAAUAUGAAAAACUCAUUCCACACCACCCAAGAGGUCGAGUUUUUGGGUGGGGCCCAAAGCACCUUGCGAACUUGUGCAGCAACCGUCUCGUAUAAAGGUUCCGUCUGGGUGUCUGGAAGUAUCAAGUUAUUAACAAUAAAUGUAACACUAAUCGUCGAUUUGUACUUUCUUUUUCCAGGUAUUCGUCAUUUGCAUCGCUGGACCUAGGGCUUCCAGCAAACCUUCUGCAGGGGUCGAUCUGGUGGAACACCAUGGAUGAGUCACCCCAUCAACAGCGGCCAUCGCUGCCUACAAAAUCUUUAUAAAUCCCUAUGUAACAGCACUGUACACUAGCAGGAAAUAAAAUAAAAUAAAUAAAAUAGGGUUCCGCGGAAACGAAAAAAA